UAAUGAUAUAUUUAAAGCAUCAACAUGGGCCCGCCACUCCCCUUUUAUAAUUAUUUUUUUGCCCUUUUCUUCAGCCCUUUCCUCUUCUACUUUCUUCGUUCUUUUCUUUCUCUACUUCUCCUUCCUUCACAACCCUACCACCAUGAGCCACCGCCGUCCAUGGCUUUCUUCGGCUGGUCCCUACCAUUAACACAAAACCGAAGCUCUCGUCACCCUCUCCUCAUUUAAGGCUUAGAUUUUUUAAAAUGGCCUAAAACCCUUCUGAAUCUACCCUUCGGAUCACGAUCGAUUUGCAAAUACCGCCGUUCAACCGCCUCGAUUUUCCAGUAUGUUAUUCUCCGCACUGGAGAUCCGAACCCAAAAGAUUAGUGGCGUUUCUUUUUAUUUUUCGAUUUCUUUUACUAUUUUUUGAAUACCGACUUUUCUCUGUUUGGAGGUGCGGUUCGGAUGAAGCUCUUCCUUCUUUUCGGUUUUGCAGGCUUCGAUUCAGGUCCCUUUCUCUUUUUUCUUUUAGUUGAAUUUGUGGUUGGGUUCUCUAUUGGUCUCUGUUCGCUUGCUGCUGGGUUUGUGAGUUAUGGUUUGGGGAGCUAGGCUUGGUGCUGAAGUAUGAUGAUGGAUAGUUAAGGUGUUGCAAGAGGGCUAUGGAAAUGGUGGAGUUGGGCGAGUUGAGGAGGUUGCUGUUUAGAGAUGGUAAUGGUUAAUUGAGGGAGGGGAGCUAGUGUAUAGACGAGGCAAGGUGUUGAAUGGUGAAGGCAGUGGGGUGCUUGAUUGGUGUUGGUAGCGGAGGUUUUGGCUUCUGGGGUGCUUAUAACGGAGCACUGGCGUGGGACUUUGGUGAAGCUGGUGUGUGCAGCAGGGUGGUUGAUGGGAUUAGUCGACAGAGGGUAUGGUGGUGGCAGUAAUCGGUUGAUGAGAUGGUGACUAUGUGAGGGACCGAAAUGCAUAAUUUGUGAAAGUCAAAGGGCUUUUUAUAUAUACAUACCAAUGGGUUAAAGCCCAAAACUUUUAAAUUUAAAUUAAUGCAAUAAAAAUUCUUCUAAUCUAAAUAA